AGUGCUCUCUGAAAUAAGCGUGGGUAUGGUCGUAUUCCACCGGGAGCCGGACCAGGAAAUGGAGUCCCUGGAAAAUGCGGGAACGAGAUGGUGGUUAGGAGUAGGGCAGUAUUAUCAUGAGGAGACGUGUACUUGGAAAACGGAGGAGGAAUGGAGGGAAAUGGAGAGGGAGAGAAGGUCUAAGAGAGAUAAGAAUGGUGGGAAAAAGGGAGAUGGUUUGUUAAAGAAGAAGGGAAGAAUGUGUAAGCAGAAGGAGCUGAAGACAGGAGGAGAAAUAGAAGUGAAUGAGGGUGAAGUAUCGGAGGUGGUAGGUGUAGUGAAGUUAUCGGAGACUGAGGUAUGCACAGGGGUCAGGAUAAAGAUGAGUCUGUGACAGUAGGAGGGAAGUUUAUGGAAAAAGUGGACUCUUGCCUUUUGGCUGAUCCAUUUGUGGUUUCACGGUGGGUGAAAAAAUUGUUGGAUAAUGUGGAAUCUGUGACGGUAACCAGAAGUGGUCUAAUGAUAAUUGUUUGUGUUUCUGCUGGUCAGAGGGAGAAGACGCUCAUAGUAAAACAAAUGGGUGUAAGAAAGGUGAAUUGUUUGGCUCUCAAGAAAAGGGUUCCAAUGAAUGGAGUGAUAACUGGCGUAGCAGUAAAUAUAAAAGUUGACCAGCUAAGAGGAAAGAUUCCCGGUGUAUGUGAUGCUCGUCGUUUGAUGCAACGCAGAAAGGGUGGCGAGAGUGGGGAAACAGAAUAGUCAUUGUCUGUUCUUUUGAGUUUUGAAGUUGAGUCUUUGCCCGACAAAGUGAAGCUAUGAUAUAAUGUUAAGUUAUCCUGUACGAGCGGAUGUGCCGAAUACAUUAUGAUGUUACAGAUGUCAAGCUUAUGGACAUGUGGCAGCAGUGUGUAGGAGGGAGGGUCCAAGGUGUGAAGUGUGCAGAAGGGCAUGAGACAAAGUCAUUUGAAGUAUUGUGGAAAGUAGUGGAAUGUGUUAAUUGUAGGGGUGCCCAUGGAGCUGGGGAUCAGACAUGUCCUCUGCAAUAGAGGCAGGUUGAGGUUAGAGUAGUGCAGAAGUUGUCAUAUGCUGAGGCAGUGAAGAAAGUAGAGGAAGAUGGAUUAAGGGGGAGGAGUGGUGAGAGUAGUAGAUAUACCAGUACAGUGGGAUAAGACAAAAAGUGAUAUAAGGACAGGUAAAAAAAUGUUUUAGCAUGGCAGGGAUGGAACGCAAGUCGCAGAAUAUGGAGGUUGUGGUGGCAGCUGCAGAAAGGUAUUUGGGUGUGCAAGACUUGACAUCAGAAGCGUUACAGGAUGUGUUCUGGUGAUGUCCAGUCCUUUCAGGAUGAUGACAUGAGGUAGGAAUAAAUACAUUUAAUUAGUGGAGUAGGGUGGUUCAUUUUAUUUUAUAUAAUUCGUGAGUGUAGUGUUAGAUGGUAGGGUAUUUAUUUAUUGCAUUUUAUCUAUCAAGCAAAGUGUAAGGGAGUUGUACUCCAGUCUAGUAAGUGGCAGUAAUGCAACAAAUUGGAUGCCAACCGCCGUUAAACCUCAUAGAAGAAGUAUUCCACCCGAUCAAAUGAUCCAUUUACACCCGGCCAAGAGAUGUGCUUUGCGACAUCCGUUUAUGAGAAAGAAAAGCUACGAAGUCAUGUUUGGUGUGCCUCAUACUGUGAACCGCACUUCGACCAGAAGCACAAGUUGGGGAUGGCCAUGGGACGUCUUCGAGAAAGUUUGUCCACAACACGACAAGGUGAUAGUUGUCCUCUCGCACUGACAAAGUGUGCAUCUGCUACGCGUGUCUCACGGACGACCACAAAGGACACAAGACUGUCCCAGCAGAAACAGUGAGGCGCCCUUCCCCAAGACUGCAACAAGUGGAGGCCAUCAAAAUAACCUCCCACCAGAAAGCUAUCAAGGGGAGUUUGCAUGGACGAAAGGAAGCAGUGGGAAACAGCAAGGAAACCACCAACUCUUUAAUGGCUGCGAUGAGAGGGCGGCAAACGAAGAUGGAUGAAAUCCAUCCUGUCUCUUCAUGAGACAUUGGAUGAUGACUGCAAGAAAAAGGAUUGCUUCUCUGAAAGAGGUGGGUGUAAGGAUAGGUGCACUCUUUUGCCAACCAAACUGCAUUCACAGGACUACCAUUGGAAUUAAGUCAAAUGUAUUUUCAUGUAUUCUGGAACUUUCUUUGGGGAUUGUGAUGGAAUAGCAUAUUUGCUUUUUAACCCUUUGCUAGUUUAUAAUUUAUUUCACUAUUUUCAACAACUUCCCGCCUAAAGCAAAGGAAAUAGAAGAGCUGCCAAUGACCAGAGCGGAUUUCUUGCGUUAUGCCACCACCCUGACCCUUGACCACCAACACGGCCAAAUACAACCUUGUUCUGACAGACACAGUUCAGCCCAACACUGCAAGGAGCCCCAGCCCACCCUGACCGCUUUGACAGCUCCCCCAGGUGCUGUGUAAAGAGGUUCGGAAGGACGGACACUAUAUCUGGGAGGUAGAAAACCUCUAUGUCUUGGCCCUUAUUGUUGUUUGCUACGCCAGCAUCAUGAGAAAGAAGACCCUUUCAACGAUCGCUUUGAACGUAACUGCAAGGUCUGGUGCUUACGACCGACUUUGAUCUACGGCUAGGUCCACCAUGGCCCAGCGGAGAACCAUACACAAUGUGUCCUAGAGGUUAGUGAAGUGGACCAGCAACUGAGGGAAAACACAUCUGGUUGGGAUUGGGUCUGCAACCUAAGGGCAUCACUGUCCUAGAUGCUAUCACCUGUUGUGCCCUUGACCAAGGCAUUUACCCAUUAAGCUGCUCAACAAGCACUAUAGUGUGGCUGCCUGGAAUAAAGCAGAAGACAAGUUUCCAUUGGACUUCAGUGUACAUUGGACUGAUAAUAACGUAAUCAUCUUCGUCAUAGAAAUGUCCCAUGGAGACUAAACUGCCCAUGACCCAGAAACAUGGUGAUAUGAAGGUUGGUGUGUUUGUGGACUACCCAGCUGGUCUGAUCUCCUACAAGGUCCAGGUUCCAGACAGCACCAUGGUCCACCUCUACAAGUUCGAGACCACCUUCACACAACCCCUCUACACAGGGUUUGGAGUGAGCUCUCUGAAACGGAGUAGCCUCGUCCCCACAGAGCCUUCCUGGUGAAACAUUGAUUACAUCUUGCCCUUUCCUUGUGUGCCACAAAAGACGAUGAAAGACCCAAAGACCUAACAGCAAAUGGCUUUACAAGUGUAUUUAUCCUAGUGUGAUAUAUCAAUAUUCUCUGAGAGCUCAGUGGAGAGCUGUCUUUUGCCUUUUUCUUUUGCUUAUCAAGUCCAGUAUGUGUUAUUCCUGUGCUAGUUUUAGAGCCACUGUGUUCUGCUAAGUGGCCUCUUGUUCAUUUUGUUGCUGAAUAUUUAGAUGCCCUGUGACCUACCGGUAUGCUCUCUUGUUGUUCAAGAUGCACUACCUUAACAUUGAGUGUUUUAUUAUGCUUAUUCUUAUUGUGAAAGCAACAACUGUCGGUAGGAUUAGAACUUGACUGGGUGAAUAAAAGCUUUCUGUAACUUUUCUGUUAUUAAUUGAUUAAUGUACAAAUCAUAGUCAGAGCUUUUUAUAUUUUAAUCAUUUAGCAGACUCUCUUAUCCAGAGUGACUUACAGUAGUGAGUGUAUACAUUUUUUGUACUGGUCCCCCGUGGGAAUCUAACCAACAACCCUUGCGUUGCAAGCA